AUUUCACAAACAAGCUUUAUGUGGGCUCAAGUGGGUUUGUUCCAAAACCCAAGAACUGACGAGAGAUUCCUCGCUCCAUGUUCAGACACAUGCAGUAUUAUGUGCAAUAGAUUUUUGGGAGACAGUCGGAUAUCCUGUCUGGGUGUUUUACUCUACAUCGUUUUGCAUACCUAGGCGAAAUAUAUAAACGUUUCACCAUACACCCCCGUGGCUUGCCAUUUAAUUAGAUCCCCGGGGUGCGGAUCAGUUUGGCACCGUGUCUGCGUGCAAGCGAAACCGGCUGUUUUUUUUUGUUUUUUUUUUGCUCCCGGAGCCUUGGCUGCGGUCCUCGCGCUACUUCACUUCUGCACCGGCGGCGCGGGAGGAAAAUCGAGCCCGCAGUCCAGCUGCUGCAGCUGGGCUAAAUUGUUCUGCACGACUCCGACAGGCGACAAUCUAAGCGUUGCAGCCGUCGACAAGCAGAGUGUAAUGUUUUGGCCGAUGUGUGAGUCGCUGUGGGAAUGAGACUGCGUGGUAGGGAUUUGGAGGAUUCCACUGUCUCCUGGAUACCAAGCGUCCUGGGUGUGCAGAGCGUCAGGCUCCGCCUCCGCCUUGAUCACUGUGACGACAGGGGGAGGGGUCUUUGGCAGCUGGUUGACCUGGGAGAGGAAGCGCAGAGUGGGCGUCGGAUACGAGAUAGGACACCUCCUACUUGUUCUCAAAGUCUGAUGAGUAUUCCUGCUGCUGC